rnacentral:rRNA from 1 species
CAGCUACCCAGCAAUGGGAUGCGAAUCUCGAAAGCCUGUCUCAGUUCGGAUUGGAGGCUGAAACCCGCCUCCAUGAAGUUGGAUUCGCUAGUAAUCGCGCAUCAGCCAUGGCGCGGUGAAUACGUUCCCGGGCCUUGUACACACCGCCCGUCAAGCCAUGGGAGCCGGGGGUGCCUGAAGUUCGUGACCGCAAGGAGCGACCUAGGGCAAAACUGGUGACUGGGGCUAAGUCGUAACAAGGUAGC